rnacentral:tRNA from 13 species
UCCCAUGUGGUCUAGUGGUUAGGAUUCCUGGCUUUCGCCCAGAAGGCCCGGGUUCAAUUCCCGGCAUGGGAA